rfam:Salmo salar isolate Sally breed double haploid chromosome ssa01, whole genome shotgun sequence.
UAUGAAAAAGUAUGCACUUAAGUCACUCUGGAUAAGAGUGUCUGCUAAAUGACUAAAA